rnacentral:lncRNA from 1 species
AAAAGAUAAACAGAUGAGGAAGCCCAAGUGGAAAGACCGGUUUGGAACGUCUCACUGACUGACUGGUGGAGCCAUUGGGAGCGUUUUUCCAUCCCAGAAGGAAAAAGGGAGAGCAGCAUUUCCAGCCAGACUUCCAGAGAGUCUGCGGAACUCGUUAGGGAGGAGAGAUCUGUGCGGUGUCUGGGGAAACCGCCUCGUGUAAGGGUCUCAACAGAGUGUUUGAAGGGAAAAAGAAUAAGCUGUGAGGGGGUAGGACACACCCUGAGAAGGAAGAGAUACAAAGAUAUGUUCGAAUGGUGUCUCCUCAAAAUUCAUGUCCACCCAGAAUCUUAGGAUGGGACCUUAUUUGGAAAGGGCUGUUGCAGAUGUAAGGUCAGAGAUGAGAUCAUCCUGCCCUAGCAUUGCCCCGAAUCCAGGGACAGCGUCCUUCUAAGUGACAGAAAAGGACUCCGAGGAGGCAGAGGUUGGAGAGAUGUGGCUGUGAGCCAAGGCGCACCACGGUUUGCCGGUAACACCUGCAGCUGGAAGAUGUAAGGAGGGUGUCUCCUCAAGAGCUUCCAGAGGAGAAGCACUCUCACUAAGAAUGAGAUCUGUUUGCUCACGAAUGCUGACGCCUCUGAGAUCUGUUUGCUCACGAACACUGAUGCCUCUGAGAUCUGUUUGCUCACGAACGCUGACAACUCUGGAUGCUAGACUGGGUACAGAUAUUUAAUGGGAUUUGCCCUCAAGAUCGCCCAAACUCUUUUGAGAAAAUCGGAUGAGGACAUUGUCGGGCUGGCUUGUGGUGAGGACAGAGGUUGGAGAUAAGGUGUUCUGAAACCGUGACUUGACUUGUAAGUUGAAGUAGGCCCUUCUUGUUUGGCCUAUCCUUCCCGUGGUCUAUUAGACGAAAUGGAGGGACAGCACUUAAUCAAUCAAUUCCAGGAGGGAGGCAGAUGACCCGGGGGAGGGAAUAGGACCAGAGAUACCCGGCAAAGUUCUGCUUGGCCAUCAUAGCUUUACAGGUGUCAACCAGCCAUGUGACCUGCAUGACCUCCAUGUCUACCUGUGAAGUCUGGGCUACAGGCGCACCCUCCAGGGACUUCCAGAACCCAAACCCAGUGAUGUAAGAGGCAAAAUAAUUUCAAGUCUCCUUUCAUCUAUUUUUAUAAAGUAGAAAUAAAAUGGCCUUUUGGUCAACCAAUCUGUC